rnacentral:tRNA from 1 species
GCGUCCGUAGCUCAGCUGGUUAGAGCGCUGCCUUGACAUGGCAGAGGUCGGUGAUUCGAGUUCACUCGGACGCACCA